CCACCGUUGAUAAAUCACCCCAC
rnacentral:siRNA from 1 species